rnacentral:rRNA from 1 species
AUGGCCGCCAAGGACCCAUCGUAUCUCGAGACCACUACUCUCCUUAGUCAAGAGAUCCAGCAAAAGGAGCUUCGCUUCAAAUUGUACUUGUUCCAGCACACUCAAGGCGAGCCAAAUCGGAACGAGCGCGCUGUAUCGUCUUUGCAUGCCCCCCAUGAGUUUGGGUCCAUCGUCGUUCAUGACUGGACCAUACGGGAUGGUCCUAACCUCCAAGAUAAAAUUGUUGCGCGCGCCCAAGGACUGCAUCUCGGGGCCGGUAUGAACGAAACAAACUGGUUUACCAGUUUCAACAUAAUUUUCACCGAUGAGAGGUUCAAGGGAUCCACUCUUCAGGUGCUCGGAACUACGAGCAUAAGAGAUGGUGAAUGGGCCAUCACUGGUGGCACCGGAGAGUUUGCCUUUGCGCAGGGUGUUGCCACUCACAUAAAAAGCAAGGAACGUGGUGGUGCUGGCCGUGACUGGGAGCUCCGAAUCCGCGCUACGUGCCUCACCUUCCCCAAACCGGUCCUUGUAACCAAGAUUGGACCAUGGGGUGGGCAUGGAGGAAAAGAAUUUGAUAUCCGAGAGUCAGUACCUCAACAUCUAGAAAGUGUGACAAUUAGAAGUGGUGUUGCAAUUGACUCAAUUGUGUUCUCCUACAUUGAUCAAGCUGGAAAGAAGCAAACUCUUGGUCCAUGGGGUGGCGAUGGUGAACUUACUGACACGAUCACUUUUGCCCCUUUAGAGAUUGUGAAGGAAGUUUCAGGAACAAGCGGUACUUUUGGUGGAGAUACUGUUGUGACAUCGCUUACUUUUGUCACAAAUGUGAGGACAUAUGGACCUUUUGGAAAACCAAAUGGUACUGCUUUCAGUGUCCCUCUUACGGAUACUAACAUUGUGGGCUUCUUCGUGCGUGCUGGAAGACUUGUUAAUGCGAUAGGAGUUUAUGCGUGUCCUUCUGUUCAAAAUUAUUAG